CCUACGGGUGGCAGCAGUGGGGAAUAUUGGACAAUGGGGGCAACCCUGAUCCAGCCAUGCCGCGUGUGUGAAGAAGGCCCUCGGGUUGUAAAGCACUUUCAGUGAGGAAGAACGCCUGGUGGUUAAUACCCAUCAGGAAAGACAUCACUCACAGAAGAAGCACCGGCUAACUCCGUGCCAGCAGCCGCGGUAAUACGGAGGGUGCGAGCGUUAAUCGGAAUUACUGGGCGUAAAGCGCGCGUAGGUGGCUUGAUAAGCCGGUUGUGAAAGCCCCGGGCUCAACCUGGGAACGGCAUCCGGAACUGUCAAGCUAGAGUGCAGGAGAGGAAGGUAGAAUUCCCGGUGUAGCGGUGAAAUGCGUAGAGAUAGGGAGGAAUACCAGUGGCGAAGGCGGCCUUCUGGACUGACACUGACACUGAGGUGCGAAAGCGUGGGUAGCAAACAGGAUUAGAUACCCCAGUAGUC
rnacentral:rRNA from 1 species